rnacentral:lncRNA from 1 species
UUUUGUUCGACUGGUAAGAUUAGUUUUGUAUAUUUUGCCGCGCGAUUCUAUUCGACUCGUAAGAUUAGUUUCAACACUUUGCCGCGCACUUCUAUUCGACUCAUAAGAUUAGUUUUAAACAUUUUGCCGCGCGAUUCCAUUCGACUCGUAAGAUUAGUUUUGAAUAUUUUUCCGCGCGAUUCUAUUCGACUCAUAAGAUUAGUUUCUACAAUUACAAAUUAAAAUACACUCU